GUGAUAACUAGCUUACUUAUUGGAGAUAAUCUUCUUCUUAUUGGUAGUCAUCUGAAAGUGAAGGGGCAACCUCCCAAUCAAUUCAGGAUAGUGAUCCCUAAGAUUCCUGCAUACUUCACAGGGACUGGGGAUUUAACGACUGCACUUCUACUAGGAUGGAGCAAUAAAUAUCCCGAUAACCUUGAGAAAGCAUCAGAACUUGCAGUAUCAAGCUUGCAGGC
rnacentral:misc_RNA from 1 species